GAUGGGGUGAGGGUUAUGGUUGGGGUUAGGGCCAGGGUUCGAGGGUAGGGAUGGUGGUGGACCACACUAGGGUUAGGAUUUCAGAGUGUUAGGUUAGGAUUGAUCGGGUCAGAGAGGAAGAGUGGUUGAGGGAUAUAAGAAGAAAAAAAAAUGAUGGAGGCCGAUCGGAGAAAGAGGGAAAAGAGAACAAAGAAGGACGUUACUGAAGAGUGACCAAUUCCACCUGA
rnacentral:lncRNA from 1 species